rnacentral:tRNA from 1 species
GCCCCCGUAGCUUAGUGGCAGAGCGCCGGGCUGUGGACCCGGAGGUCCCGGGUUCGAAUCCCGGCGGGGGCC